UAUAUAUAUAUAUAUGACUCUCGUAAAUAAAACCUCUGGUUCCGCCACUGCUUUUGAGUUCUAAUUAAUAUCGGUUGACAAAAAAAA
rnacentral:sRNA from 1 species